AUUGAACGCUGGCGGCAUGCCUUACACAUGCAAGUCGAACGGUAACAGGUCUUCGGAUGCUGACGAGUGGCGAACGGGUGAGUAAUGCAUCGGAACGUGCCCAGUAGUGGGGGAUAGCCCGGCGAAAGCCGGAUUAAUACCGCAUACGACCUGAGGGUGAAAGGGGGGGAUCGCAAGACCUCUCGCUAUUGGAGCGGCCGAUGUCAGAUUAGCGAGUUGGUGGGGUAAAGGCCUACCAAGGCAACGAUCUGUAGUUGGUCUGAGAGGACGACCAGCCACACUGGGACUGAGACACGGCCCAGACUCCUACGGGAGGCAGCAGUGGGGAAUUUUGGACAAUGGGCGCAAGCCUGAUCCAGCAAUGCCGCGUGCAGGAAGAAGGCCUUCGGGUUGUAAACUGCUUUUGUCAGGGAAGAAAUCUUCUGGGUUAAUACCUCGGGAGGAUGACGGUACCUGAAGAAUAAGCACCGGCUAACUACGUGCCAGCAGCCGCCGUAAUAC
rnacentral:rRNA from 1 species